AGAGUUUGAUCAUGGCUCAGAACGAACGCUGGCGGCGUGCCUAACACAUGCAAGUCGAGCGAGAAAGUCCCUUCGGGGGCGAGUAGAGCGGCGGACGGGUGAGUAAUACAUGGAUAAUCUCCCUUUCGAGCUCGGGAUAACACUGCGAAAGCGGUGCUAAUACCGGAUAAGACCACGUGACGGAAGGUCAUGCGGGAAAAGGUGGCUUUGUUUUCGGAUGAGGCUAUCACUUGAGGAUGAGUCCAUGGCCUAUCAGCUUGUUGGCGAGGUAACGGCUCACCAAGGCGAUGACGGGUAGCUGGUCUGAGAGGACGACCAGCCACACCGGGACUGAGACACGGCCCAGACUCCUACGGGAGGCAGCAGUGGGGAAUAUUGGGCAAUGGGCGAAAGCCUGACCCAGCGACGCCGUGUGGGCGAUGAAGGCCUUCGGGUUGUAAAGCCCUGUUGGGUGGAACGAAGGGUCCAUCGACGAAUAAUCUUUGGAUUUUGACGGUACCACCAGAGGAAGCACCGGCUAACUCCGUGCCAGCAGCCGCGGUAAUACGGAGGGUGCAAGCGUUGUUCGGAAUUACUGGGCGUAAAGGGCGCGUAGGUGGUUGUGUAAGUCGGAUGUGAAAUCCCCAGGCUCAACUUGGGAACCGCAUCUGAUACUGCAUGACUAGAGUACUGCAGAGGGAAACGGAAUUCCUGGUGUAGAGGUGAAAUUCGUAGAUAUCAGGAGGAACACCGGUGGCGAAGGCGGUUUCCUGGGCAGAUACUGACACUGAGGCGCGAAAGCGUGGGUAGCAAACAGGAUUAGAUACCCUGGUAGUCCACGCUGUAAAC
rnacentral:rRNA from 1 species